CCCUUAGAUGUUCUGGGCCGCACGCGCGCUACACUGACGAUGGCAACGAGUUUUUCCUUCGCCGAAAGGUGUGGGUAAUCUUUUGAAACAUCGUCGUGCUGGGGAUAGAUCAUUGCAAUUUUUGAUCUUGAACGAGGAAUUCCUAGUAAGCGCUAGUCAUCAGCUCGCGUUGAUUACGUCCCUGCCCUUUGUACACACCGCCCGUCGCUACUACCGAUUGAAUGGUUUAGUGAGGACUCCUGAUUGGCGCCGCCGCCCCGGCAACGGAGCAGCGGACUGCCGAAAAGUUGUUCAAACUUGAUCAUUUAGAGGAAGUAAAAGUCGUAACA
rnacentral:rRNA from 1 species